AACGAACGCUGGCGGCAUGCCUAACACAUGCAAGUCGAACGAACCCUUCGGGGUUAGUGGCGCACGGGUGCGUAACGCGUGGGAAUCUGCCCUUUGCUUCGGAAUAACUCAGGGAAACUUGUGCUAAUACCGGAUGAUGUCUUCGGACCAAAGAUUUAUCGGCACGGGAUGAGCCCGCGUGGGAUUAGGUAGUUGGUGGGGUAAUGGCCUACCAAGCCGACGAUCCUUAACUGGUCUGAGAGGAUGAUCAGCGACACUGGGACUGAGACACGGCCCAGACUCCUACGGGAGGCGGCAGUGGGGAAUAUUGGACAAUGGGCGCAAGCCUGAUCCAGCAAUGCCGCGUGAGUGAUGAAGGCCCUCGGGUCGUAAAGCUCUUUUACCAGGGAUGAUAAUGACAGUACCUGGAGAAUAAGCCCCGGCUAACUCCGUG
rnacentral:rRNA from 1 species